rnacentral:rRNA from 1 species
CCUACGGGCGGCAACAGUGAGGAAUAUUGGUCAAUGGCCGGAAGCCUGAACCAGCCAAGCCGCGUGAAGGACGAAGGUGCCAAGCAUUGUAAACUUCUUUUGUCAAGGGACAAAAUCAGGCUCGAGAGCCUGACCGAGGGUACCUGAAGAAAAAGCAUCGGCUAACUCCGUGCCAGCAGCCGCGGUAAUACGGAGGAUGCGAGCGUUAUCCGGAUUUAUUGGGUUUAAAGGGUGCGGAGGCGGGCUGUUCAGUCAGCGGUAAAAGCCCGGGGCUCAACCCCGGCGAGCCGUUGAAACUGGCUGUCUUGAGAUGUCGAGAGGUAUGCGGAAUGCGCAGUGUAGCGGUGAAAUGCUUAGAUAUUGCGCAGAACUCCGAUUGCGAAGGCAGCAUACCGGCGGCGGUCUGACGCUGAGGCACGAAAGCGUGGGUAUCGAACAGGAUUAGAUACCCUAGUAGUC